UUGGUUUGGUUGGUUUCCACGUGGCUCUGUUUGCUUGCUGCACGAAGAGAGAGAUCAAGAAGGAUCGAGAGAGCCAGACAGGUCAAGAAGGAUCGAGAGCGUGCAGGUGCGUUUCUUUGCUUUCCGGAGAGAGAGAGAGAGGAGUUUUUUAGGAUCGAGAGAGUGCAGGUUUGUUUCUAGAGAAAGCACAGUCGAAACACAGAGAAAGAGAGAGCGCGCGCGAAAGAGAGUGGUGAUUCCGUUUUGCUGUGAGGAGGAAGAAGAUCUGCGUCUUGGAUAGGUCUGCCGUUUACCUUUUGGGGGUAUUGUUCGGUUUUGCUGUGAGAAGGAGGAGGAUCUGCGUUUUGGAUAACUCUGUCGGGGGUAUUGUUUGUGCUUCAGUUUCUUUCAGUGAUUGAUUGGAGGAGGUUCAAGAAGAAAAGAAAAGAAGAAGAACAAGAGGAAGAAGAAAAGGAAGAAGAAGAGGGAAAUCGAGUAAAUUGAUCAUCCCAGGUACUUUUUCUGUGAAUUGUUGCCCAGUAUAUGUCAGUUAAAACAAGUUGCCAGCUUUUGCUUAUUUGAAAUACUAUUUACC